CAUUCACUUUAUUUAACACACACACACAUCGGCACAUGCUCCAGGGUGCCUGCGGGUCGGAGUCAUGGGAUGUGUGGAGGCCUAAC
rnacentral:sRNA from 1 species